rnacentral:rRNA from 1 species
GGUAGCCCGGAGAUGGGUACUGAGACAAGGACCCAGGCCCUACGGGGCGCAGCAGUCGCGAAAACUCCGCAAUGCACGAAAGUGUGACGGGGCUACCCCGAGUGCUGUCCGAUGAGGAAAGCUUUUCCUUGGUAUAAGUAGCCAGGGGAAUAAGGAGAGGGCAAGUCUGGUGUCAGCCGCCGCGGUAAUACCAGCUCUCCGAGUGGUAGGGAUGAUUAUUGGGCUUAAAGCGUCCGUAGCCGGCUUAGCAAGUCUCUUGUUAAAUUCAGCGACUUAAUCGUUGAAUCGCGGGAGAUACUACUAGGCUAGGAGGCGGGAGAGGUCGACGGUACUUCCGGGGUAGGGGUGAAAUCCUAUAAUCCCGGGAGGACCACCAGUGGCGAAGGCUGUCGACUAGAACGCGCUCGACGGUGAGGGACGAAAGCUGGGGGAGCGAACCGGAUUAGAUACCCGGGUAGUCCCAGCUGUAGACGAUGCGGGCUAGGUGUUGGAGUAGCUACGGGCUGCUCCAGUGCCGCAGAGAAGUUGUUAAGCCCGCCGCUUGGG